rnacentral:rRNA from 1 species
GACUAAGCGUACACGGUGGAUGCCCUGGCAGUCAGAGGCGAUGAAGGACGUGCUAAUCUGCGAAAAGCGUCGGUAAGGUGAUAUGAACCGUUACAGCCGGCGAUGUCCGAAUGGGGAAACCCAGUGUGAUUCGUCACACUAUCGUUAACUGAAUACAUAGGUUAACGAGUGCUAAUCUGCGAAAAGCGUCGGUAAGGUGAUAUGAACCGUUACAGCCGGCG